AGCAGAGCAGCCGCGGCCGUGCCCGCACCACAGCCUCCUCCACUCGCGACCACGGCGGCGCGCCGCCCACCUGAACUCGCGUCGUCCGGCAUCCGCCCUUUCGCGGCUCCGCGUCCGGCCUCCAGUGCGGCGGUCCCGCCUCCGGUUCAGCUCAGCUCCCUCGGGCUGCAGCCUGCGCGUGCCAGCCGUCCCCAGCCAGCCCCAAGGUCCAUGACUCGAGCGGCGCAGCCCCGCGACCGCGAGUCGCCCCGUCCGGCCUACAGGCCAUAGCGAACGCCCAACCGCCCAGCGCCGCAGCCGCCAGACCCAGCUCGGCAGCUCCUCUCUCUCUCCGGUGUGGUGUGACUGUCUAUCUGUCUCCACUCUUGAGAUUUAGCGAUGCCGUUCCAAGUGCUGUCUAACUGUGAAGACAUAUAUUUGUUCAUUGGUUAAAAUAUUAUCACUGUAUUUUUAAGUUUUUAACCCAUAAUGUAUUGUUUGUUUGUGCACUUUGAAUUUGAAUUAAGCGACAUUUGUUAUAUCUGUUAGUCUAUUGUUAGCACGAUUUCUA